AUAGUUUUCACAAUAACUGUAAUUAGAGACCCUAAACAAACUUCUAAACAAGUAAAAUGUGUUUUACAGAGCAUAAGACAGGAAGAAUAGUAAAAAAAAAAACACAAGCAGCAGUGAUAAAACAAACUGACGGUACCAACAACAAUACAAGUCACGCUCUUUUCCUCUGUCUCUCUCCACCUCUAAGGGGUGCUGAGCUGUUUGAGGCCAAAGUGAAGAAGCUGAUAGCAGCCAGACUGGAGAUGGAGAAGAAGUCUGUUGAGACACUAAAGAAACAGUAAGAAACAUUAAACAGUGUCGAGUUAGUUUGUGUUUCAUCCUGGUAAAAGUAAGCAGUUAACUUGUCUUUCUUCCUGCUUCCUUGUAGGAUGGAGAAGAUCAAAUCCAAACAGAAGAGUCAGCCUGCAGAAGCAGACACACCAGCUCUUCCUGCUGCUCAGGAGCAGGUGACACUCGAUGAUGAUGAGAAGGCAAAGAGAGAUGCAGGAAAAUGGUGGAAACCUUGGGUGUCUCAGCCUGGAGUGGAGAACAACUGUGGCUACCACCUGUUUGAGAGUGACAGCGAGGAGGAAGAGGAGGAAGUUGUAGAGAAGAAAGAAGAGGAGGCACCAAAAAAGAAGAAAUCUGCUUUCCAGGUGAGAGACACAAAAACACAUGAAACAAAAAAAAUUAAUAUGUUGUGUUGUUAAUGUUUUCCACGAGAUCAACGGACGAUAGUUGCUCCUUUAAAGUGGACAGUUUAAUAUUUGUACAUUGGGUGUCGCUAUAUUGUAACUUCAUCACGAAAGACAUGUAUCUGUUGUCUUUGUUAUCACAGUUGGCAUACGAAGCCUGGGUCACCAGCUCUAAGUCGGCUCUGAAGGACUUGAAGAAGGAGAAGAAACAAAGAAAGAAAGAGGAGAAGAAGAAGGCCAAGAGAGAGCUGCAGAGACAGCAGGGUGAGAGAGCAACACGUGGUGUUUAUGUAACACCAUCUAAUCAGUCUUUGAAUUCA
rnacentral:lncRNA from 15 species